GACGUAGGGGACGAGCGUUGUCCGGAUUUACUGGGCGUAAAGGGCGCGUAGGCGGUCAGCACAAGUCAGUUGUGAAAUCUCCGGGCUUAACUCGGAAAGGUCAACUGAUACUGUGCGACUAGAGUGCAGAAGGGGCAACUGGAAUUCUCGGUGUAGCGGUGAAAUGCGUAGAUAUCGAGAGGAACACCUGCGGCGAAGGCGGGUUGCUGGGCUGACACUGACGCUGAGGCGCGAAAGCCAGGGGAGCGAACGGG
rnacentral:rRNA from 1 species